UAGUCCACGCCCUAAACGAUGAAUGUUAGUCGUCGGUAUGCAAGUCAUAUCGGUGAUUCAGUUAACACAUUAAACAUUCCGCCUGGGGAGUACGGUCGCAAGAUUAAAACUCAAAGGAAUAGACGGGGACCCGCACAAGUGGUGGAGCAUGUGGUUUAAUUCGAAGAUACGCGAAGAACCUUACCUGGCCUUGACAUUGAUAGAACACUGUAGAGAUACGGUGGUGCCCUUCGGGGGAGCUAGAAAACAGGUGCUGCACGGCCGUCGUCAGCUCGUGUCGUGAGAUGUUGGGUUAAGUCCCGCAACGAGCGCAACCCUCGUUCUUAGUUACUAACAGUUCGGCUGAGGACUCUAAGAAGACUGCCUUCGCAAGGAGGAGGAAGGUGAGGACGACGUCAGGUCAUCAUGGCCCUUACGGCCAGGGCGACACACGUGCUACAAUGGUUAGGACAGUGAGAAGCGAUACCGCGAGGUGGAGCAAAUCUAUAAACCUAAUCUCAGUUCGGAUAG
rnacentral:rRNA from 1 species